GCCCGGGUGGUGAAAUCGGUAGACACAAGAGACUUAAAAUCUCUCGCCUUUCAGGUGUACGGGUUCAAGUCCCGUCCCGGGCACCA
rnacentral:tRNA from 1 species